rnacentral:rRNA from 1 species
GUGCACCAGGCGCGAAACCUUCGCAAUGCGGGAAACCGCGACGAGGGACUCCCAGUGCCUACGCUCAGCGUAGGCUGUUCCCGAGCCUAGAAAGCUCGGGGAGUAAGGGCUGGGUAAGACGGUGCCAGCCGCCGCGGUAAUACCCGCAGCCCGAGUGGUGGCCACUAUUAUUGGGCCUAAAGCGUCCGUAGCCGGCCCGGUAAAUGCCUGGGUAAAUCGUGAGGCCUAACCUCACGAAUUCCGGGUAGACUGCCGGGCUAGGGACCGGAGGAGGGAGAGGGGUACUCCAGGGGUAGGGGUGAAAUCCUGUAAUCCCUGGAGGACCACCGGUGGCGAAGGCGCUCUCCUAGGACGGGUCCGACGGGUGAGGGACGAAAGCCAGGGGAGCGAACCGGAUUAGAUACCCUCGUAGU